rnacentral:rRNA from 1 species
GACGAACGCUGGCGGCGUGCCUAACACAUGCAAGUCGAGCGAAGCGCCUACGACAGAUUCCUUCGGGAUGACGAUGUAGGUGACUUAGCGGCGGACGGGUGAGUAACACGUAGGUAACCUGCCCAUCACACGGGGAUAGCUUCGGGAAACCGGAGGUAAUACCCGAUACCUUUACUUAGCCUAGGUUAAGUAAAGAAAGCGUUUAGCGGUGAUGGAUGGGCCUGCGGCCCAUUAGCUAGUUGGUGAGAUAACAGCUCACCAAGGCGACGAUGGGUAGCCGACCUGAGAGGGUGACCGGCCACACUGGGACUUAGACACGGCCCAGACUCCUACGGGAGGCAGCAGUGGGGGAAUAUUGCGCAAUGGGGGGAACCCUGACGCAGCGACGCCGCGUGAGCGAAGAAGGCCGUUCGGGUCGUAAAGCUCAGUCAGUCGGGGAUGAUAUAGACAGUACCGAAGAGGAAGCCCGGCUAACUACGUCGCCAGCACGCCGCGGUAAAAUAGACGUACU